CCUACGGGUGGCUGCAGUGGGGAAUAUUGGACAAUGGGCGCAAGCCUGAUCCAGCCAUGCCGCGUGGAUGAUGAAGGCCCUAGGGUUGUAAAGUCCUUUCGACGGGGAAGAUAAUGACGGUACCCGUAGAAGAAGCCCCGGCUAACUUCGUGCCAGCAGCCGCGGUAAUACGAAGGGGGCUAGCGUUGCUCGGAAUCACUGGGCGUAAAGCGCACGUAGGCGGCUUUUUAAGUCAGGGGUGAAAUCCCGGAGCUCAACUCCGGAACUGCCCUUGAUACUGAGAAGCUUGAGUUCGGGAGAGGUGAGUGGAACUGCGAGUGUAGAGGUGAAAUUCGUAGAUAUUCGCAAGAACACCAGUGGCGAAGGCGGCUCACUGGCCCGAUACUGACGCUGAGGUGCGAAAGCGUGGGGAGCAAACAGGAUUAGAUACCCUAGUAGUC
rnacentral:rRNA from 1 species